rnacentral:rRNA from 1 species
UGCAGUCGAACGGCAGCACGGGAGCAAUCCUGGUGGCGAGUGGCGAACGGGUGAGUAAUAUAUCGGAACGUGCCCAGUCGUGGGGGAUAACGUAGCGAAAGUUACGCUAAUACCGCAUACGAUCUACGGAUGAAAGCGGGGGAUCGCAAGACCUCGCGCGAUUGGAGCGGCCGAUAUCAGAUUAGCUUGUUGGUGGGGUAAAAGCCCACCAAGGCGACGAUCUGUAGCUGGUCUGAGAGGACGACCAGCCACACUGGGACUGAGACACGGCCCAGACUCCUACGGGAGGCAGCAGUGGGGAAUUUUGGACAAUGGGCGCAAGCCUGAUCCAGCAAUGCCGCGUGCAGGAUGAAGGCCUUCGGGUUGUAAACUGCUUUUGUACGGAACGAAACGGUCCUUUCUAAUACAAGGGGCUAAUGACGGUACCGUAAGAAUAAGCACCGGCUAACUACGUGCCAGCAGCCGCGGUAAUACGUAGGGUGCGAGCGUUAAUCGGAAUUACUGGGCGUAAAGCGUGCGCAGGCGGUUUUGUAAGACAGAUGUGAAAUCCCCGGGCUCAACCUGGGACCUGCAUUUGUGACUGCAAGGCUGGAGUACGGUAGAGGGGGAUGGAAUUCCGCGUGUAGCAGUGAAAUGCGUAGAUAUGCGGA